rnacentral:rRNA from 1 species
AGAGUUUGAUCCUGGCUCAGGACGAACGCUGGCGGCGUGCUUAACACAUGCAAGUCGAACGGAAAGGCCUGCCACUGUGGUGGUGGGUACUCGAGUGGCGAACGGGUGAGUAACACGUGGGUGAUCUGCCCCGCACUGUGGGAUAAGCCUGGGAAACUGGGUCUAAUACCACAUACGACCACACUGUAGACAGUGUGGUGGAAAGCUUUAUUGCGGUGUGGGAUGAGCCCGCGGCCUAUCAGCUUGUUGGUGGGGUAAUGGCCUACCAAGGCGGCGACGGGUAGCCGGCCUGAGAGGGUGGACGGCCACAUUGGGACUGAGACACGGCCCAGACUCCUACGGGAGGCAGCAGUGGGGAAUAUUGCACAAUGGGCGCAAGCCUGAUGCAGCGACGCCGCGUGGGGGAUGACGGCCUUCGGGUUGUAAACUCCUUUCGCCCGGGACGAAGCCCACCUGGUGGGUGACGGUACCGUGGAGAAGAAGCACCGGCUAACUACGUGCCAGCAGCCGCGGUAAUACGUAGGGUGCAAGCGUUGUCCGGAUUUACUGGGCGUAAAGAGCUCGUAGGUGGUGUGUCGCGUCGUCUGUGAAAUUCCGGGGCUUAACUCCGGGCGUGCAGGCGAUACGGGCACGACUAGAGUGCUGUAGGGGUAACUGGAAUUCCUGGUGUAGCGGUGAAAUGCGCAGAUAUCAGGAGGAACACCGAUGGCGAAGGCAGGUUACUGGGCAGUUACUGACGCUGAGGAGCGAAAGCAUGGGGAGCGAACAGGAUUAGAUACCCUGGUAGUCCAUGCUGUAAACGGUGGGCGCUAGGUGUGGGCUGUGUGUUUGCAGUCUGUGCCGUAGCUAACGCAUUAAGCGCCCCGCCUGGGGAGUACGGCCGCAAGGCUAAAACUCAAAGGAAUUGACGGGGGC